UGGAGAGCACACGGUAUUCUUUAGU
rnacentral:snRNA from 1 species